AAAAAAAGAAACAAAAAACUCCUCUACACUACACACCCUUGAAGUCAUCAUUUGUUUGCUGUUGUUAAAUUGGCUACUACAGGAUCUCGAUUUUCCCGAAAGAGCAUCUGGAGAUGAAAUCAUGAAAGUAUAAACUGCCCAUAUCCCUCACAACUCUGAACAUGUCAUAUGGAAGGGGAAAUCCACUGUCUUACCUCAUUUAGUGACAUAACAAUAAUUUCAAUGCAAAAGUAUAAGCAUUAUAAUUAUGUUAGACUUUCU
rnacentral:lncRNA from 1 species